UUGUAGAAACUUAAAGGAAUUGGCGGGGGCCCGCACAAGCGGUGGAGCAUGUGGUUUAAUUCGACGCAACGCGAAGAACCUUACCAGGGUUUGACAUCCCCUGACAGCGUAUGAAAGUACGUUUUCUGCCUUCGGGCAGACAGGGAGACAGGUGGUGCAUGGUUGUCGUCAGCUCGUGUCGUGAGAUGUUGGGUUAAGUCCCGCAACGAGCGCAACCCCUACGUUUAGUUGCUAACGCGUGGAGGCGAGCACUCUAGACGAACUGCCGUUGACAAAACGGAGGAAGGUGGGGAUGACGUCAAAUCAUCAUGCCCCUUAUAUCCUGGGCCACACACGUGCUACAAUGGCCGGUACAGAGGGACGCGAAGCCGUGAGGCGGAGCAAAUCCCAAAAAGCCGGUCUCAGUUCGGAUUGCAGGCUGCAACUCGCCUGCAUGAAGUCGGAAUCGCUAGUAAUCGCAGGUCAGCAUACUGCGGUGAAUACGUUC
rnacentral:rRNA from 1 species